rnacentral:lncRNA from 1 species
AAAAAUCCACAUCUAAUGAAUCUUCCCAAAUAGUUCCACUAACCAGGGACCCCAUAAAUGAGUGUAUGAGGUCCAUUCUCAUAUAAACACCACACACAGGAAGUUUGAAGUAUUUGUGUUCCUUAACUGACUUUAUUUUUAAUUUUAUUCUGUCAUAUUUAAUGCUUCGUAACUUAUGUUUUUGUUUAGGGUUCUAUCCAUAACAGACUAAAAUGGGAGAUAGCGUUAGUAUUAUCCUCGGCAAUGAUUUGGAGGCUGUGUAGUUUUUACUUUCCUGAAACAUAACAGAAACAAUUUUUUUUUUUUUUAUGUGUUAUGUGUGAGCCACCAUGUGGUUGCUGGGAUUUGAACUCAGGACCUCCGGGAGAAGAGUCAGUGCUCUUAACCACUGAGCCAUCUCUCCAGCCCUGUACUUGUGUAAUUGUGACCAAGUAAGUACGUGACAGAAACAACUUGAGGGUUGGUCAUGGCUCCCUGGUGUACCUGACUGCUUGGCUCCAUUCUGCCUGGGGCAGAGUGUCAUAGUGGCUAGAGCAUGUGAAGGAGGCUGCCCCUUCAUCAGGCAGGGAGAAGCCACUUCAAAGACACUGCCCCAGUGACCUAGUUCCUCCAUAAUACAACCUCCUAAGGUUUUACCAGAUUACAGAGUUACCCCACCAGCAGGGGACUGAGGGGGUGAUGGGUGAGAGGGAGCACUGACACGUUGCGGAUUCAAACCAUAAUAUAAGCAGACUGUGAAGAGCCUUUUCCCAGAAACUGUUUGAGAUGAGUUUGCCAACAUGCUGUAUUGUCUCUGGAUGGUCUGACACUUGAUGUGUAGAUCAGGCUAGCUAGACAUCCACCCACCUCUGCCUUCUGAUGCUGAGGUUAAAAGUGUGCACCAGCACUGCCCAACAGCUUUAUUAUUCUUGAACUUGUGCUUUUUAAAGAUUUUGUGUUUAUUCUAACUGGAUAGUAUGACAGACUAACAUCAUGAGAAUGCAUUAUUGUUUGGGCUGAGAAGGAAUUUGCUUUAUCAGUGUGUGCUUUCAAAUUUGAGAGAGUUUUCCCUGGAGCAGAUGGUGGUGAGUCGGAAGGUUUAGUUUAGGGUAUGUGCAUCUCAGCCAGUGAGGUUUUCACCAUCCUGAUGGUUACCGGCUUGUCUUAGGUAAUCUCUUGAGCUUGCUUUUGGCUGAAGGGCUUCUUUCUGGCUCUUACUUUCUCUUGUGUAUAUAAAUACCCAUCACUAUCUGCGUUUUCCUGGGCAUGCUUCCUAAGUAUAUUAUCUGCUUUUCAUCAUCGAAUCCAUUUUUAGUAAGUCAUGCAUAACUCUAGUUUUCUCAAUGUAACGUAACUCUUGCUUUUCCUGUAGCAUUUCGUGUGUGUCCACGUGUACAUGGACUUCUGUAGAUGCCAGAUUUUCGUAUUGGGUAUCUUCCUGAAUCGCUUUCUACCUUUUUUGGGGCGAGGGGCCAAUGUCUCUAACUGACCUGGAGCUAGCAAAUUGAAUUAGCUAGAAACCACAGAGAUCCCCCUGCCUCCUCCUCCCCAGUGCUAGAAUUAAGAGUGCAGCACUUUGCUUGGCUUUUCUUGUGAGUACUGGGAUACCAAACCUAGUUUCUUACGCAUCAAUAGCAAGCACUUUACUGAGUCAUCGCCACAACCUGUGUAGCUUUUCUCCCUAUAAUAUUUCUUUUGAUUAUUGGAACUUUAUAUCAUGAACACUGAGCACACUCACUUCUGAGUCCUCCCAGCUUCACUCUCACCCUUGAGACCUCCCCAAACAG